GUCACUUUUAAUUUGGAAGAAAAUUGUCUCUUUGGUUUUUUCUCUCUCUAGCUCCCUCUGGCCUCUGCUUCUUCUUUUCUUUCUAGAUUUGAAGAACUUUGGCGAUCUCUAUAAUAACCUUGUAGUUAUCUGAUGAUGGUAGAACGUUGGUACAGUAUUUUAGGCCUUGUUUGUGGCUGGUCAACCUAUAUUGUGUUCUUGGCAAGGUUGUGUCUAGUCUUGUGGGCUAGGGUUCGAGUUAUUGAGAGAUCCUUGUGGAUCGAUGACCCUAUAGUGGGUCUGAUUUGGUUUUCUCAACUGGUUGUACACUCUCUUGAAGGGCCUCAAGAAAAAGAUGAAAAAAAAAUUACGUGAUGGGAUUAUGACAACCAUGAAAAAAUGUGUGAACUUUGCCGGCCAAUUUUCGAGCUCUCCCUCUUCCGUGAAGAGAGAGUUUGAUGGAUGAAAUUUCUAGGGUUUGUGCAUGAAAGGAGUGUGUGAGGUUUGAACUGAGAAGACAAAGCUCCUGCAUGUUUGAGAAAUUGCAAGAUAAUGAAUUUUCAUUUCCUUCGAAAGAUGAUAUCAGUAAGUGGUCGUUUUCUUUUUUACUUUUGCAGUGUAACAAUAAUGAUGGGUCUAUUAAUUGGCAUAUACCUAGUGUACCCUCAAUUACAACAAAGAAGGAA
rnacentral:lncRNA from 1 species